GUUCUUCUUGCUUUGCUGGUGAUCAUGUCACUUGGAUUAGGCCUGGGGCUUGGACUCAGGAAACUGGAAAAGCAAGGCAGCUGCAGGAAGAAGUGCUUUGAUGCAUCAUUUAGAGGACUGGAGAACUGCCGGUGUGAUGUGGCAUGUAAAGACCGAGGUGAUUGCUGCUGGGAUUUUGAAGACACCUGUGUGGAAUCAACUCGAAUAUGGAUGUGCAAUAAAUUUCGUUGUGGAGAGACCAGAUUAGAGGCCAGCCUUUGCUCUUGUUCAGAUGACUGUUUGCAGAGGAAAGAUUGCUGUGCUGACUAUAAGAGUGUUUGCCAAGGUUUGACCUGCCACCAGUUAUCUUGUUUUCUAUGGAUGGAUUUAGAGCUGAAUAUUUAUACACAUGGGAUACUUUAAUGCCAAAUAUCAAUAAACUGAAAACAUGUGGAAUUCAUUCAAAAUACAUGAGAGCUAUGUAUCCUACCAAAACCUUCCCAAAUCAUUACACCAUUGUCACGGGCUUGUAUCCGGAGUCACAUGGCAUCAUUGACAAUAAUAUGUAUGA
rnacentral:sRNA from 1 species